GUGAAUUCAAGCCCCGGUAAACGGCGGUGGUAACUAUAACCAUCCUAAGGUAGCGAAAUUCCUUGUCGGGUAAGUUCCGACCUGCACGAAUGGCGUAACGACUUCCCCACUGUCUCGACCAGGAGCUCGGCGAAAUUGCAGUACGAGUAAAGAUGCUCGUUAAGCGCAGAAGGACGAAAAGACCCCGGGACCUUUACUAUACCUUGGUAUUGGCGUUAGGCGCGGAUUGUGUAGCAUAGGCGGGAGGCUUCGAAGCGCGGGCGCCAGCCCGUGUGGAGCCGCAAGGUGAAAUACCGCUCUGUUCUCGUUUGACGUCUCACCUCGAACAGUCAUCCUGUUCAGGGACAGUGCCUGGCGGGUAGUUUAACUGGGGCGGUUGCCUCCCAAAGAGUAACGGAGGCGCUCAAAGGUCCGCUCAGCCCGGUUGGCAAUCGGGUUUCGAGUGUAAUCGCACAAGCGGGCUUGACUGCGAGAACGACGGUUCGGGCAGGGACGAAAGUCGGAGAUAGUGAUCCGGUGCCGGCGCACGGGCGCGGCAUCGCUCAACGGAUAAAAGGUACCCCGGGGAUAACAGGCUGAUCAUUCCCAAGAGUCCAUAUCGACGGGAUGGUUUGGCACCUCGAUGUCGGCUCGUCGCAUCCUGGGGCUGGAGCAGGUCCCAAGGGUUCGGCUGUUCGCCGAUUAAAGCGGCACGCGAGCUGGGUUCAGAACGUCGUGAGACAGUUUGGUCUCUAUCCUCUGCGCUCGUUGGAAUCCUGAGGAGGCCUGCCCAUAGUACGAGAGGACCUGGGUGGACGGACCUCUGGUAUGCCGGUUGUCGCGCCAGCGGCAUGGCCGGUUGGCUACGUUCGGGAGGGAUAACCGCUGAAAGCAUCUAAGCGGGAAGCCUGCUCCAAGAUUAGGAUUCCUUGACGCUUUUCGGAGCGCCUGUAGCCCGCAUGUUGAACACGUGUUCGAUAGGCCGGAGGUGGAAGUCCCGCGAGGGGUGGAGCCGACCGGUACUAACGGGCGAACGCGGCACAC
rnacentral:rRNA from 1 species